UGGGGACUGGGCCUGUAUCCUCAAAGCUUCUCAGAGCAGCAGUGCUGAUCUAGGAUCAGUUUAGCCACCAGGACUGGGGGACUGGGCCUGUAUCCUCAAAGCUUCUCAGAGCAGCAGUGCUGAUCUAGGAUCAGUUUAGCCACCAGGACUGGGGGACUGGGCCUGUAUCCUCAAAGCUUUCAGAGCAGCAGUGCUGAUCUAGGAUCAGUUUAGCCACCAGGACUGGGGGACUGGGCCUGUAUCCUCAAAGCUUCUCAGAGCAGCAGUGCUGAUCUAGGAUCAGUUUAGCCACCAGGACUGGGGACUGACUGAUUGCUAACAAUGGAUACAUGUUUUUAACACCAAAAACAAACCAAAGCUUCUCAGAGCAGCAGUGCUGAUCUGGGAUCAGUUUAGCCACCAGGACUGGGGGACUGGGCCUGUAUCCUCAAAGCUUCUCAGAGCAGCAGUGCUGAUCUGGGAUCAGUUUAGCCACCAGGACUGGGGGACUGGGCCUGUAUCCUCAAAGCUUCUCAAAGCUUCUCAGAGCAGCAGUGCUGAUCUGGGAUCAGUUUAGCCACCAGGACUGGGGGACUGGGCCUGUAUCCACAAAGCUUCUCAGAGCAGCAGUGCUGAUCUAGGAUCAGUUUAGCCACCAGGACUGGGGGACUGGGCCUGUAUCCUCAAAGCUUCUCAGAGCAGCAGUGCUGAUCUAGGAUCAGUUUAGCCACCAGGACUGGGGGACUGGGCCUGUUUCCUCAAAGCUUCUCAGAGCAGCAGUGCUGAUCUAGGAUCAGUUUAGCCACCAGGACUGGGGGCCUGGGUAUCCACAAAGCUUCUCAGAGCAGCAGUGCUGAUCUAGGAUCAGUUUAACCACCAG
ensembl:lncRNA